rnacentral:lncRNA from 1 species
UAAUAUAUGAAACUAAUGAAAGUUGCCACGUAAUAAGAGUUUUCUUAUGCUUAACGGCAUACAUGCAACAUGUUAUCAUGGCAUAUGUAAUCAUAACGAAGAUAGCUAGCUACUGAUUAAAACGAAAACACUAUUAUCAGUUUUGAAAUGAUAUAUUUUGUUUUAAAAAAUUAAGGAUAAUGUUAUCUAUAUAAUGUUGUGGCCUGUGGGAGACAAAGUUAGAUCCAAA